AUUGAACGCUGGCGGCAGGCCUAACACAUGCAAGUCGAGCGGAUGAAGGGAGCUUGCUCCUGGAUUCAGCGGCGGACGGGUGAGUAAUGCCUAGGAAUCUGCCUGGUAGUGGGGGAUAACGUCCGGAAACGGGCGCUAAUACCGCAUACGUCCUGAGGGAGAAAGUGGGGGAUCUUCGGACCUCACGCUAUCAGAUGAGCCUAGGUCGGAUUAGCUAGUUGGUGGGGUAAAGGCCUACCAAGGCGACGAUCCGUAACUGGUCUGAGAGGAUGAUCAGUCACACUGGAACUGAGACACGGUCCAGACUCCUACGGGAGGCAGCAGUGGGGAAUAUUGGACAAUGGGCGAAAGCCUGAUCCAGCCAUGCCGCGUGUGAGAAGAAGGUCUUCGGAUUGUAAAGCACUUUAAGUUGGGAGGAAGGGCAGUAAGUUAAUACCUUGCUGUUUUGACGUUACCAACAGAAGAAGCACCGGCUAACUUCGUG
rnacentral:rRNA from 1 species